rnacentral:rRNA from 1 species
AUUGAACGCUGGCGGCAUGCUUUACACAUGCAAGUCGAACGGCAGCGCGGGCUUCGGCCUGGCGGCGAGUGGCGAACGGGUGAGUAAUGCAUCGGAACGUGCCCAGUAGUGGGGGAUAGCCCGGCGAAAGCCGGAUUAAUACCGCAUACGACCUGAGGGUGAAAGCGGGGGACCGAAAGGCCUCGCGCUAUUGGAGCGGCCGAUGUCGGAUUAGCUAGUUGGUGGGGUAAAGGCUUACCAAGGCGACGAUCCGUAGCUGGUCUGAGAGGACGACCAGCCACACUGGGACUGAGACACGGCCCAGACUCCCACGGGAGGCAGCAGGUGGGAAAUUUGGAAAAUGGGGGCAACCCCGAUCCAGGCCUGCCGGGUGGGGGAAGAAGGCCUUCCGGUUGGAAACCGGUUUUUGUCGGGAAGAAAACCUCUUGGCUAAAAACCCGGGGGGAUGACGGUACCGGAAGAAUAAGCACCGGCUAACUACGUG